GCGGUUUCUGGUGAGAUCAUCUCUGGUGUAAUGAAGUCCUACAUGUUGCCUGUUCAAGGAGGUGUGGUGCUUCAAAUUGAACACAAUUCUCCAGGUCUGGUGGGACUCUUGCUGUCUCGAGUCCGCAUACCGGCAGCAACAACAAAGGCUUGGCAGCUUGGAUCAUAAAGAAACUUUUAAUCGCUUGGCUGAGGCUUGGCUUCGUUUUGUGGUUUCAUUGUGGGCUGACCUAGAAUGCCUCU